rnacentral:rRNA from 1 species
GGGGGAUAAGCGGAAGAAAUUCCGUCUAAUACCGCAUAAUACAAUUUGGAGACAUCUCCGGGUUGUCAAAGGAGUGAUCCGGCAGAGGAUGGACAUGCGGCGCAUUAGCUAGUCGGCGGGGUAACGGCCCACCGAGGCUACGAUGCGUAGGGGUUCUGAGAGGAAGGUCCCCCACACUGGUACUGAGACACGGACCAGACUCCUACGGGAGGCAGCAGUGAGGAAUAUUGGUCAAUGGGCGGAAGCCUGAACCAGCCAAGUCGCGUGAGGGAAGACGGUCCUAUGGAUUGUAAACCUCUUUUGCAGGGGAGCAAGGCGCGGUACGUGUACCGCGAAGGAGAGUACCCUGAGAAAAAGCAUCGGCUAACUCCGUGCCAGCAGCCGCGGUAAUACGGAGGAUGCGAGCGUUAUCCGGAUUUAUUGGGUUUAAAGGGUGCGCAGGCGGACUGUUAAGUCAGCGGUAAAAUGUCGGUGCUCAACACCGGCCGGCCGUUGAAACUGGCAGCCUUGAGUGAGCGAGAAGUAUGCGGAAUGCGUGGUGUAGCGGUGAAAUGCAUAGAUAUCACGCAGAACUCCGAUUGCGAAGGCAGCAUACCGGCGCUCAACUGACGCUCAGGCACGAAAGCGUGGGUAUCGAACAGGCUUAGAUACCCUGGUAGUCCACGCAGUAAAC